CGCCUCGGCCCGCACCCCUCCCGCCGCCCGGAAAGCCCCGGGCCCUCCACGCGGGAGAGUACGAUUUCAGUUUAGGAACGGGUUGGUGGAAGACGGAGAUGUUAACACGAUGUGCUGCAAUAUCUUCCUAGGCCCACGAGGUCUCCUUUUUAUUAUCAUUACUGUUACUCAUUAUUAUUUUAUAAAACACACACUCAUGUUGGCUGAUCCUUGAAACCACCGGGUGCUCCAGGCACUGUGCCCACUGCACAGAACGGCGCUGCCGGGACAGCUCCUGGAACCUGGCGGAAGAGGCCACCCUGGGAGCCCGAGGCCCCGCCGGUGAGACUGCCCAGUGAUCCGGACCCCCAGCCUCCAGCCGCUUGCUGGUGCCUGGGAAACUUCCUCUGCCAGGCUCAGCUUUGAUUUGCUGUUUCCCUGAGAGAAGAGUGAGCCCAGCAUUCAUCGAGAAGUCCCAGCCGACCUCUGGAUGGUUCUUGAGGGAAGAAACUUCUGGAUAGUACAUCUCUGGGAUUUUUUAAGUUCCAGUGGUUUUUGUGUUUUAUCACUUUGUCUAGUUGUCCAAUUUAUUACAGUCCUGAAUAGUUAAAUACAGUCUGCUGAAUAGAAAUUUCUGACAUGUAACCACUGUAUCUACAACGAAUAUAUGUAAAACAUAAACAUUUCAAAUUAUUUAAUUAA